AUUAGCUGCCUUGUGAGGCAGUAUGCCGCAUGGAGCUCAAAGGGAGCAAUAUUUAUUUAUUUAUUUAUUUAUUUAUUGCGAGGUUUUUGCACAGACUAGUUAGAUAUAGUUGUUUUUAUAACUGAUGUUCUAUCAGUAUUGGAAUUUUCGGCUGAAUUUUGUUCAUGAAUGAAGUUUAGUGGACGUGAAGUGAGAUGAAAGAAAUGUAAUAUUGAAGGUGUCUUGGCAGCUUGGCUUCGCAGAAGUCUCCAGGCUACCUGCAGGGUUUGUAGAUGCUGUGGCUGGCAUGCCUCAGCAGUGAACUAUGACUUGAAAAUUUCUGUGGCGGAAACGCAUCCCCAUCAGAGUUCUGUUCAACCCUGGAGUUUUCCCAAAGGGCAGAAUGGGGAAAUGUUUUUACACCAUGUUCAUCGCUUCAUCAGAACAACCUAACCAGUGCACCAUGUAACAGGCAAUCA